UUGAAUGGUUACGGCUAAGACAUUCAACGACAUAACCAUCCAAGUUGAAUGGUUAUGCCGAGGGCAUUCAACGGCAAAAUCAUCCAAAUUGAAUGGUUAUGCCGAAGACAGUCAACGGCAUAACCAUCCAAGUUGAGUGGUUAUGCCGAAGACAUUCAACGGCAUAACCAUCCAAUAUUCAAAGGCGUUACCAUCCAACUACAUAACCAUCCAAUGGUUACAGUGGCGG